GUAACGACUGUACCUGUUACUCUGCGAUUCUUGAUAUUUGUUUCUACCUCCAGAUCAAGACUGGAGCUCCCUGUCGAUCAGAACGUCUGGCCAAAUACAAUCAGCUCAUGAGGAUUGAGGAACAGUUGGGUGACCAGGCUCGCUUUGCUGGGCACAACUUUCGCAACCCCACUGCCCUUUGAGUGCCAUUAGCGUUAGCACACAAGCUAAUUAGCACGCUCAGCAUAUCAAUCACACUUUAUUUCCCUGACGGGCACAUAGUAAUGAAAUGAUCACACUUGUUUCCGCAGAGCUUUAACCUCACUAAGACACGAUUAAAAGCAUUAGGACUAAUCAUUUUCAAAUAACUGAAAUGCAUUGUAGCUACAGUAUAUUGACCAUACGCUUCAGCAAGUGAUUGACUUUAAUUGACUGCAGCCAGUUGCAGCGAAUCCUGAACAAAGAAUAGAGGAGAGAAAUCAGUGUUUCACCUCCUGGCAGCGAGCACUUUCCCUGAUGCACUCGUUAGUUUCUUUCUCUCUGUCUCCUUUUCACUCACGUCACUGCAGAUGUGUUUUGAUCUUUUGUCCCCUGAUGUUUCCUCUCCCUGUUCCUCAUGUCGUUUCUAAUGUGAACCUUCAGCAGCUUGCUACACAAUUGUAUCUCACUUUGUCUGGUUGUACCCAAUAAAGAAAUGGAAACAUAUUAAUUUGAA